rnacentral:lncRNA from 1 species
GCAAAGUUAACAUAUAUUUUGGAGGUAAAACCAAUAGACUUGCUGGUGGCUUGGAUGCGACGGUGUGCUCAUCCUAAAGAAAACAACAGGGCAACAUACACACCUUAUUACCAUGGAUGGGAAGAUUUCUAGCUUGUGGAGGCUUUACCACUUAGAAAGCAUGCGAACACAUACUCUCAUAAACAGAACAACUCUGUAUGGUGAGGACAACUCUCCCUACUUUUCAGGUGAAGAACCUGAACAUGUAAGAGGUUAGAUUGCAGACCAAGGUCAGCCUCCCAAAACCUGUGGUACAGAUGAGAAACACGGGAAGCCAAAAAGACAGAAAAGUUCAUGUAGGUUCAAGUACCCGUGACAAAGAAGAGGCUUGCACUAAACUGAAGGAUGAGUACUAUUUAAUCCCAUGGGAGCGGGGGGAGCACCUAGGAUGGGAAGACCGACCUGGAAGUCCAAAGCGCGUAAGGGGCUUGGCUUUUAGAGGGGGGGACGAUCACUCUAAAUGGAGCAGAGAAUAAGCAGACGGCAGGAGGCACGUCCGAGCUUCCGCUUAAUAUCCUAUCGGGUGUUUGUCUAUUUAUCUACCUUUCUUAAACCUAUUUUACACCUUCAGUCUAUUCAUUUUCUCUGCUGCAUCAAUUGAGAUUUCUCUUUCAUGACUUCCCAGCUACUGCAUAUAUUCACUCCACCCACUACUGCGUUGAUCGCACUACGGCGCAAAUAUUUACCAAUGUGUCUCCGUCUACCAGGUUCCCCGACGGCAAGAAAGGUCCGCGAUCAUUUUUUAUCCCUGGAACUUGACAGACAGAAGGCGUCCCGUAACUGCUCUUUAAACGAGCGUGUCACGCCUCGCUCUAAAAGGACUGCUUUCACUUUUCAGAGAGCUCCGCCUCGGUUCAAGGUCUCGGGUUCGUGGAGCCCCCCGCGUUAAGCCACCCCUGGCCGCGCGGGAUCGGCCUCGCUCCACCCUGAGGCGACCGCGGAGCGGACCCCCGCGCCCGACCCGCAAGGCCUCGGCGCCGCGGGAGGCAGCUCCGAGGAGACGCGCCGCCCGCAGCGUCAGCCCCGCCGCCGCCGAGGCCCGCAGCGGCACCACAGCUCGGCCCCCGCACGCGUCCACCUCCACCCCGCCGCCCCGCCCGGCCCCAACCGGACUCUCACCCGCGGCCCCGCACGCGCGCCGGGCUGGCCCGCGCCCUCGGCGGACCGGAAGUGGGCUGCGGACACUGUCAGACAGGUGCGUAAGGAAGGGGGGGGGGGGGACCCUUCCGUUUCCUCUCUAGGACUCUCGGAGGUCGAUCGUCUCGAUGGUCGCUCGUCCCCGUGGCUAACUCGUCUCCUGGAGGCUCAGGCCCCUCUGCGCCUCCUUUCCUUUGCACCCGCUUUCUCUCUGUGGGAAGGACCCUCCAGACGUACUGCCGGACACGGUGCCUCCUUCGGAGCUUUGGAGUCCAGUCGUUCAACACGUGUUUAUUCCGCGCCUGCGGUAUUUUAUGCGAGAGACCAUCACAGAUUCCCUGCCUUUGGACUCCUCCCCAAGGCUUGCCUGCAGUUCCACACCUGUGAGGAAGCUGAUGAAGGCUGACACAAAGUUGUGCUUCCGGGUCCUUAGAAAGAGCUGAGCAGCAAAGGACCACAUGCUGAAGGUGGUGAGGAAAGACAAGACAACUGCAGACAGCAGAAAGAAGCGGCCAAGGACGAUGUACACUGAAGGGGAGAGAGAGCAGGCUGGCGCUGGGCACCCUGACCCGCAAGGGCAGAGUCCCACAGAGCCUGGGCACAGACGGCCUCUGGAGCUCUGCCACCCUCGGAUCCUAAAGCCUGGCCUGGGACCAAGGCUCCGACCCUGACACUUUGCCACCAGGAAUGUUCUGGGCCCACUAUUUUGUUCCCAACAACACGGAAGUAAAUGAAAAAAAAUUAGAUGGACAAUUUCAGAUACUGAAAUCACUAAUUCUCAACAAAUAUUAUUAUGUGAAUCUGGUUGUAUCAAAUCAUGUGGGGAAACCAUGCAUCUGUCAUCCAUUUAGGAAAAACGGUGGUUUUAAUAAACAACAGAAAAUGAAACUCUCA